rnacentral:rRNA from 1 species
GCGAAAGCUGGCGGCAGGCUUAAUACAUGCAAGUCGAGCGGGCGUAGCAAUACGUCAGCGGCAGACGGGUGAGUAACGCGUGGGAACGUGCCCUUUGGUUCGGAACAACCCAGGGAAACUUGGGCUAAUACCGGAUAAGCCCUUACGGGGAAAGAUUUAUCGCCGAAGGAUCGGCCCGCGUCUGAUUAUCUAGUUGGUGAGGUAAUGGCUCACCAAGGCGACGAUCAGUAGCUGGUCUGAGAGGAUGAUCAGCCACACUGGGACUGAGACACGGCCCAUACUCCUACGGGUGGCAGCAGUAGGGAAUAUUGGACAAUGGGGGCAACCCUGAUCCAGCCAUGCCGCGUGAGUGAUGAAGGCCUUAGGGUUGUAAAGCUCUUUUGUGCGGGAAGAUAAUGACGGUACCGCAAGAAUAAGCCCCGGCUAACUUCGUGCCAGCCGCCGCAGUAAAAC